GAUGCAGCGGGUAUCGACCCCUGCUGUGUCGUAGCUAACGCGUUAAGUAUUCCGCCUGGGGAGUACGGCCGCAAGGCUAAAACUCAAAGAAAUUGACGGGGGCCCGCACAAGCGGUGGAGCAUGUGGUUUAAUUCGAUGCAACGCGCAGAACCUCACCUGGGCUUGAAAUCCUCGGACCGCUAUAGAGAUAUAGUUUUCCACUUCGGUGGACUGAGUGACAGGUGCUGCAUGGCUGUCGUCAGCUCGUGUCGUGAGAUGUCAGGUUAAGUCCUAUAACGAGCGCAACCCUUGUUGCUAGUUGCCAGCAUUCAGUUGGGCACUCUAGUGAGACUGCCGGUGUCAAACCGGAGGAAGGUGGGGAUGACGUCAAGUCCUCAUGGCCCUUAUGCCCAGGGCUACACACGUGCUACAAUGAUCGGUACAAAGAGCAGCCAACUCGCGAGAGUGCGCAAAUCUCAAAAAACCGACCUCAGUACGGAUUGGAGUCUGCAACUCGACUCCAUGAAGGUGGAAUCGCUAGUAAUCGUAGAUCAGCAUGCUACGGUGAAUACGUUCCCGGGCCUUGUACACACCGCCCGUCACACCAUGGGAGUUGACUACUCCAGAAGUCGUUGAGCUAACCCGCAAGGGAGGCAGGCGCCCAAGGAGUGGUUGGUAACUGGGGUGAAGUCGUAACAAGGUAGCCG
rnacentral:rRNA from 1 species